rnacentral:lncRNA from 1 species
CAAACAUUACCUGAUUUGACCCUCACAGCAACCUCGGGAAGCAAGUGCUGUUAUUAUCAUCCCCAAUUUACAGAUGAAAAAAACUGAGCUGAGGGAAGGUUAGGCACCUAUCCAGGGUGGUACAGCUGGUAUGUGUCUGAAGUGGGAUUUGAACUCAGGUCUCCCUAACUCCAAGCCCCACACGUGCCACCUAAAGUAAGAAUUUGAACCUGUCGUCUGACCCCAAAGCAAGUAUCAUUUCCCUCAUGCAUGAGGAUUGACAGACAGAAAGGACUGGACUCGGUAACAAAGGAAGAGAAGUGUUCAUUCACUGUGGAUGAAAGUUCCCGAACUGGCCAAGGUUUGGAUGGACUCAAGAAAAAGCAUGUGCCUCCGGCAGCCUGUGUGCAUUGUCAUGAGAGCUUCCACUUCUCCAUCCUCAGGAAAAGGCAAAGGUGUGUUUUGUGAGAAACUCCCUAGUUUGGAUAGACAGAUUGCUGAGAUGUGUUUCGAUGAAGCUAACAGAUGUGGGAAACCAUUAGUCUGUGGAUUCUACAAGCGUUUUGAUCCAGCUUUACAAUUCUUGUACCAGAAAGUCCGUGAGAGCCACGCGCUAGGGAGAAUACAUCGGAUAGCUGUGGUUAGCAGCCUCUAUCCGGCAGCUUCUCUCAGUUUACUAAGGAAGUCAGGUGUGA